CCUACGGGAGGCUGCAGUAGGGAAUGUUCGUCAAUGGGCGCAAGCCUGAACGAGCAAUGCCGCGUGAACGAGGAAGGUCUUCGGAUCGUAAAGUUCUGUUGAAGGGGAAAAAGAGCGGAGAGAGGAAAUGCUUUCUGAUUGAUAUUACCCUUCGAGGAAGUCACGGCUAACUACGUGCCAGCAGCCGCGGUAAUAAGUAGGUGGCGAGCGUUAUCCGGAAUGAUUGGGCGUAAAGGGUGCGUAGGCGGCCUGCUAAGUCUGGAGUGAAAGGUACCGGCUCAACCGGUACAGGCUCUGGAAACUGGCGGGCUAGAGGGCAGGAGAGGGCGGUGGAACUCCAUGUGUAGCGGUAGAAUGCGUAGAUAUAUGGCAGAACACCAGUGGCGAAGGCGGCCGCCUGGCCUGUUAACUGACGCUGAAGCACGAAAGCGUGGGUAUCGAACAGGAUUAGAUACCCUUGUAGUC
rnacentral:rRNA from 1 species